GGCCUACGGGGCGCAGCAGUGAGGAAUAUUGGUCAAUGGCCGCAGGGCUGAACCAGCCAAGUCGCGUGAGGGAUGACGGUCCUAUGGAUUGUAAACCUCUUUUGUCAGGGAGCAAAGGACGCCACGUGUGGCGUUCCGAGAGUACCCGAAGAAAAAGCAUCGGCUAACUCCGUGCCAGCAGCCGCGGUAAUACGGAGGAUGCGAGCGUUAUCCGGAUUUAUUGGGUUUAAAGGGUGCGCAGGC
rnacentral:rRNA from 1 species